UAGUCUGGUGCCAGCAGCCGCGGUAAUUCCAGCUCCAAUAGCGUAUAUUAAAGUUGUUGCAGUUAAAACGCUCGUAGUCGGAUUUCGGGGCGGGCCGACCGGUCUGCCGAUGGGUAUGCACUGGCCGGCGCGUCCUUCCACCCGGAGACCGCGCCUACUCUUAACUGAGCGGGCGCGGGAGACGGGUCUUUUACUUUGAAAAAAUCAGAGUGUUUCAAGCAGGCAGUCGCUCUUGCAUGGAUUAGCAUGGGAUAAUGAAAUAGGACUCUGGUGCUAUUUUGUUGGUUUCGAACACCGGAGUAAUGAUUAACAGGGACAGUCAGGGGCACUCGUAUUCCGCCGAGAGAGGUGAAAUUCUCAGACCAGCGGAAGACGAACCACUGCGAAAGCAUUUGCCAGGGAUGUUUUCACUGAUCAAGAACGAAAGUUAGGGGAUCGAAGACGAUCAGAUACCGUCGUAGUCUUAACCAUAAACCAUGCCGACUAGGGAUUGGAGGAUGUUCCAUUUGUGACUCCUUCAGCACCUUUCGGGAAACUAAAGUCUUUGGGUUCCGGGGGGAGUAUGGUCGCAAGGCUGAAACUUAAAGGAAUUGACGGAAGGGCACCACCAGGAGUGGAGCCUGCGGCUUAAUUUGACUCAACACGGGGAAACUUACCAGGUCCAGACAUUGUGAGGAUUGACAGAUUGAGAGCUCUUUCUUGAUUCGAUGGGUGGUGGUGCAUGGCCGUUCU
rnacentral:rRNA from 1 species